rnacentral:rRNA from 1 species
GAUGAACGCUAGCGGCAGGCCUAAUACAUGCAAGUCGAACGGUGGUAGCAAUACCAUAGUGGCGCACGGGUGCGUAACACGUAUGCAACCUACCUUAUACUUAGGGAUAGCCUUUGGAAACGGAGAUUAAUACCUAAUGGUAUAUUUAGCUGGCAUCGGUUAGAUAUUAAAGAUUUAUUGGUAUAAGAUGGGCAUGCGUCCAAUUAGUUAGUUGGUGAGGUAAUGGCUCACCAAGACGAUGAUUGGUAGGGGAACUGAGAGGUUAAUCCCCCACACUGGCACUGAGAUACGGGCCAGACUCCUACGGGAGGCAGCAGUAGGGAUAUUGGGCAAUGGAGGCAACUCUGACCCAGCCAUGCCGCGUGCAGGAAGACGGCCCUCUGGGUUGUAAACUGCUUUUGUACGGACGAAAAGGUUUCUAUUAAUACUAGGAGCUCAUGACGGUACCGUAAGAAUAAGCACCGGCUAACUACGUGCCAGCAGCCG